rnacentral:tRNA from 1 species
GCCUUGGUAGUGUAGUGGUCAGCAUGCUCGACGCGUAUUCGAGAGGUGGGUGGUUCGAAUCCCGGCGAGGGCA